GAGAUAGCUGGUUCUCCCCGAAAUAGCUUUAGGGCUAGCCUCAGGGAAAAGAUUGCAGGCGGUAGAGCACUGAUCAGGAGAGGGACCUACCCGGUUACCAAACCCAGUCAAACUCCGAAUGGCUGCAAUCAUACCUGGGAGUCAGACUGCGACUAAUAAGGGCCGUAGUCAAAAGGGAAACAGCCCAGACCAUCAGCUAAGGUCCCCAAUGCCGUGCUAAGUGGCAAAGGAUGUGGCAUUUCAUAAACAACCAGGAUGUUGGCUCAGAAGCAGCCACCAUUUAAAGAGUGCGUAAUAGCUCACUGGUCGAGAGACGCUGCGCCGAAAAUGUCCGGGGCUCAAGCACGGAACCGAAGCUAUGGCAUGAUAGCAAUAUCAUGGGUAGGGGAGCGUUCUUAUAAGGAAGAAGCAUGACCGGAAGGACAUGUGGACAAAUAAGAAGUGAGAAUGCCGGUAUGAGUAUCGAAAAGAAAGGUGAGAAUCCUUUCCACCGAAAGCCCGAGGGUUCCUGAGCAACGAUCGUCGACUCAGGGUAAGUCGGGACCUAAGCCGAGGCGAAAAGCGUAGGCGAUGGACAACAGGUUGAAAUUCCUGUACCGGAUCAAGUCGAUUGAGCGAAGGAGCGACGCAGGAGGGCACAUGAUCGCGCGGCUGGAAGAGCGCGUCCAAGUGCGUAUGUUGCAGCAGAGGAAAACCCCUGCGGCUGAAAGCAGAGACAUGAUGGGGAGUUAAAGGAAACUUUGACGAACUCAUGAAUCCCACACUGCCAAGAAAAACUUCUAGCGAGACAAGAUCCGCCCGUACCGUAAACCGACACAGGUAGGCGGGGAGAGAAUCCUAAGGUGCGCGGGAAAACCCUCGUUAAGGAACUCGGCAAAUUGCAUCCGUAACCUAGGGAGAAGGAUGGCCCCCGGUCAGUGAAGAGCAGAAACGCUCAGAGCUAAAAGGGGCGGCAGAAAAGAGGCCCAAGCAACUGUUUACCAAAAACACAGGUGCCUGCGAAAGCGAAAGCUGAAGUAUAGGUGCUGACGCCUGCCCGGUGCCGGAAGGUUAAGGAGAGAAGUUAGCGAAAGCGAAGCAUCGAACUGAAGCCCCGGUGAACGGCGGCCGUAACUAUAACGGUCCUAAGGUAGCGAAAUUCCUUGUCGGGUAAGUUCCGACCCGCAUGAAAGGCGUAAUGAUUUGGGCACUGUCUCAACGAGGGGCCCGGUGAAAUUGAAAUACCUGUGAAGAUGCAGGUUACCCGCGACUGGACAGAAAGACCCCAUGGAGCUUCACUGCAGCUUGAGAUUGAAUCCCGGUGACAGAUGCACAGGAUAGGUGGGAGGCGCCGAAGCAUUGCCCUAGGGCGGUGCGGAGCCGAUGUUGGGAUACCACCCUUCUGUUGCUGAGAUUCUAACGCGAGGAGUAACGACCCUGCGGACCCUCUCAGGCAGGCGGUUUGACUGGGGCGGUCGCCUCCGAAAGAGUAACGGAGGCGCCCAAAGGUUCCCUCAGGCCGGACAGAAACCGGCCGAAGAGUGCAAAGGCAGAAGGGAGCUUGACUGCGAGACCAACAAGUCGAGCAGAGACGAAAGUCGGGCUUAGUGAUCCGGUGGUACUGAGUGGAAAGGCCAUCGCUCAACGGAUAAAAGCUACCCUGGGGAUAACAGGC
rnacentral:rRNA from 1 species